GCUUGAUCGUCAGUCUGUUUAGUCGAACCGCAGCAUUCGCUCCCAACGUCGUCAGCUGCUCGGACUAUCGUAGAGAGUUUAAUUUUGUUUCUUUUCCCUAAGUUCUUAAUCCCAAACCAUAACCAUGUCCGAUGAAGAGGAGUACACUUCCGAGGAGGAGGAGGAGGUUGUCGAGGAGACCAGAGAAAAGCCACCUCAAACACCAGCCGA